UACGUAGGGUGCGAGCGUUAAUCGGAAUUACUGGGCGUAAAGCGUGCGCAGGCGGUUCGUUAAGUUCGUUGUGAAAGCCCCGGGCUCAACCUGGGAACUGCAUUUGAAACUGGCGGGCUUGAGUGCGGCAGAGGGGGGUGGAAUUCCGCGUGUAGCAGUGAAAUGCGUAGAGAUGCGGAGGAACACCGAUGGCGAAGGCAGCCCCCUGGGCCGACACUGACGCUCAGGCACGAAAGCGUGGGGAGCAAACAGG
rnacentral:rRNA from 1 species